rnacentral:rRNA from 1 species
CAAACGACUCUCGGCAACGGAUAUCUCGGCUCACGCAUCGAUGAAGAACGUAGCAAAAUGCGAUACUUGGUGUGAAUUGCAGAAUCCCGUGAACCAUCGAGUUUUUGAACGCAAGUUGCGCCCGAAGCCAUCCGGCCAAGGGCACGCCUGCCUGGGCGUCACGC